CUGGUGCCAGCAGCCGCGGUAAUUCCAGCUCCAAUAGCGUAUAUUAAAGUUGUUGCAGUUAAAAAGCUCGUAGUUGGAUUUCUGUUGUAUUUUUAUAAUAUUACUAAGGUAACAUUAUAAUAACAACAUCCUUCCCAAUAUAUUUUUUAAUAUAUGGGAAAUUUUACUUUGAGAAAAUUAGAGUGCUUAAAGCAGGCAACUGCCUUGAAUACUCCAGCAUGGAAUAAUAAGUAAGGACUUUUGUCUUUCUUGUUGGUUCUAGGAUAAAAGUAAUGGUUAAUAGGGACAGUUGGGGGCAUUCGUAUUUAACAGCCAGAGGUGAAAUUCUUAGAUUUGUUAAAGACGAACUACUGCGAAAGCAUUUGCCAAGGAUGUUUUCAUUAAUCAAGAACGAAAGUUAGGGGAUCGAAGACGAUCAGAUACCGUCGUAGUCUUAACCAUAAACUAUGCCGACUAGAGAUUGGAGGUUGUCCCUUACUC
rnacentral:rRNA from 1 species